AAGCUGCCCAGUUAUGCUUCAACCUCACUAAUGUGUCAAGGUCGACAUUUCAGAGGGUGGUAUGGACAGAAGGGUUCUAAGCCAGUCUGAUUGACCACUGGGGCAGGUUGGGGUCCUUGAGUUCACUAGAUUCUGCGUCCAAAGAACCAAGUGGCCACAAGACCUGGAGAGGAUGAGAACAAAGGUCCAGGUCUGCCUUAAUGUCAAACACCAACUGCCAGAAUGAAGGAGAUUUAAGUGCAUGGAGCUCCUGCUCCCCUUCUGUUUAGUCCUUUUUCCUUUGAACCAAGUGCAUCCUUUUUAUAUCUACAUUUAGAAAGGACUGUGCCAAUUUGCUGUGAAGACAGUGCUGUAACAUUGCAGAAAGUCUUCUGAUGUGACCAUCAGUGUUUCCCAAGUGACAAACUGAGUCACAAAAAGGAAUUUACUCAAGCUAUUGAAGUGAAAACUGCUUUGAAAGGCAAAACUCCUGAGGUCAGAUCUGUCUCUCUGACUGAAGGGAAGGAAAUGAACGGAACCCCUUGAAGCAAAGUUGUGUAUUUCCAUUCAGAAGAGGAACAUUCUACCUCUCUCUUGUGGUGAGUGACAUCCCAUCAGCUGGAAAG
rnacentral:lncRNA from 1 species